GUGCUCAAGUUAGCAUCACAUACACUAACAUUGGAACGAUACAAAGAAGAUUAGCAUGUCCCCUGCACGAGGAUGACAUGCAAAUCCAUGGAGCCCAUAUUUUU